rnacentral:rRNA from 1 species
UACAGAGGUCUCAAGCGUUGUUCGGAUUCAUUGGGCGUAAAGGGUGCGUAGGUGGCGCCGUAAGUCGGGUGUGAAAUUUCGGAGCUUAACUCCGAAACUGCAUUCGAUACUGCGGUGCUUGAGGACUGGAGAGGAGACUGGAAUUCAUGGUGUAGCAGUGAAAUGCGUAGAGAUCGUGAGGAAGACCAGUGGCGAAGGCGGGUCUCUGGACAGUUCCUGACACUGAGGCACGAAGGCCAGGGGAGCAAACGGG